rnacentral:lncRNA from 1 species
AGUAGUGCCUAUCACCCCAAGUGCCUGUACCAUGAAUUUGGUUGUAGAUGUACGUGGCUAGAUCAAUCUUGUUCCCUCUAACCAAAUGGUAUAUGAAUCCGGCCUUUGGAUUUGUAAAUGUUGUUCUGUGGGAUAUAGGCUCGAUGUUAUGGCACAUGAAUAACCAUAAAAUUGCUAUGGAUGGGGUGAGAUCUAUCUGAUGCCAGUCUGCUGUAGGUAGAGGCCAAGCGUUUUCACGUCCCAACAAUACC